GGCAAUAUGGCCGAGCGGUCUAAGGCGCUGGAAUCAGGAGACCGUCCUAUCCAGUCCGAAAGGGCGUGGGUUCGAAUCCCACUGUUGUCA